rnacentral:misc_RNA from 1 species
GAUGAAGAACGCAGCGAAAUCCGAUAAGUAAUGUGAAUUGCAGAAUUCAGUGAAUCAUCGAAUCUUUGAACGCACAUUGCGCCCGCCAGUAUUCUGGCGGGCAUGCCUGUCUGAGCGUCAUUUCAACCCUCAUGCCCCUAGGGCGUGGUGUUGGGGAUCGGCCAAAGCCCGCGAGGGACGGCCGGCCCCUAAAUCUAGUGGCGGACCCGUCGUGGCCUCCUCUGCGAAGUAGUGAUAUUCCGCAUCGGAGAGCGACGAGCCCCUGCCGUUAAACCCCCAACUUUCCAAGGUUGACCUCAGAUCAGGUAGGAAUACCCGCUGAACUUAAGCAUAUCAAUAAGCGGAGGA